rnacentral:misc_RNA from 1 species
AAGUCGUAACAAGGUCUCCGUUGGUGAACCAGCGGAGGGAUCAUUACAGAGUUGCAAGACUCCCUAAACCAUUGUGAACCUACCUUCUACCGUUGCUUCGGCGGGCGGGCCCAGCGCCCCCCCGGCCCCCCGCGGGCGCCCGCCGGAGGAUACCCAAACUCUUGACAUUAGUGGCCUCUCUGAGUAUUCUUUACUGAAUAAGUCAAAACUUUCAACAACGGAUCUCUUGGUUCUG